UACGUAUGGGGCAAGCGUUGUCCGGAUUUAUUGGGCGUAAAGAGCGUGUAGGCGGCUUUGCAAGUCCGUUGUGAAAACUCGAGGCUCAACCUCGAGACGCCGGUGGAAACUGCAAAGCUAGAGUCCGGAAGAGGAGAGUGGAAUUCCCGGUGUAGCGGUGAAAUGCGCAGAUAUCGGGAAGAACACCCGUGGCGAAGGCGGCUCUCUGGGACGGUACUGACGCUGAGACGCGAAAGCGUGGGGAGCGAACAGG
rnacentral:rRNA from 1 species